rnacentral:lncRNA from 1 species
CUGGGUUGGCUUUGCCUGUCGCCCCCUGCUGAAAUUGCUGCCGGCAGGUAUGCCAAUUUUUUUUUUUGAAAUUGCUCCACGUAGGACUGUCAUUUCAUUUCAUUUCAUUGCAAAGUAAUGAAUAUUUCAUUUCACUGAGGAGGAAUAGCUCGGGAUGGAACCCGUUUCUGGGCCCGCGACCGCCGCCCUCCGUCCCUCCCCACUCCUCGGCAGAUGCCCGUGCGAAUGCUAUAGUGUUCGGCACGGGGCACAGGAAUCCGCGGGGUCCCAUCGAGCUCGCAUCACCCCCCUGGCCAUCGCUCUCCCGAGGAGGGCCGAGGGCCCCCGCCUUGAUGCGCGGGCGGCACGACCGUGACGCCCGAGCAGCGCGGAUGAAGGCGACGCCCACCGCCGUGGCGGCGCGGGACGAAGGGGACGUGCGCUCGCGGGUUCGCAAGGCCAAGCUCUGUUAGAUAACGAGGGUCACAGCACAUGCACGCCGCCUGUUCGAGCGAAUGCCUGAACCAAGGUGUGCUAGUGAGGUAACGACGCUCCCUUAGUUCUAGUUUUGUCCCUCCGCUUUGCAUCAUGUGCUUCAGAUUGAGCAUGCCUUAGCACGUUUUUUUAUUAAGAGGAGAAUAAAAGUGACGGUACAACAGCCCCAGCUAGACUAAUCCAGCUCUAUAUCUGUGCUUAAGGGGGAUAUACAACAAUUUUCAGCUUUAAAGCUAGCGGAUACAACCAUGAAGAGCAACUUCCUUUUUAUCUGGGUGAGCUGAUUGUCGUGACUUCUCUUCCUUUUGUUUUUUGAGACAGACUGAGAAAUCCUUCACCGCUGCAAGGAGAUAAGGACAGCCGCCACCAGUUUUGAACGGCUAUCUCAUAUUCUUAUUGUUAACAGAAGUGCCAGGGAGAGGAGUCACAGCUUGCGGUGGGUAAGAUGAAGGUACGAGUAGCCAGAUGACUUCUUUCCCAUAUGGUGACAUGUAUAGGAUGAAUAGGUUGACUGUUAUUCCUUCCAUGUUGAUCGGCCAUUUUGUUUUUUAUUGUACUUACUAAGCUAAUGUGAAAUGCAUAGCAUUGUGCUUAGUUGUAGAGCAACACAUAACAAUGAACUGGUGCAAGAAACGCAUGGCAACAUAGUAA